rnacentral:rRNA from 1 species
AUACGUAGGGUGCGAGCGUUGUCCGGAAUUACUGGGCGUAAAGAGCUCGUAGUUGGUUUGUCGCGUCGUCUGUGAAAUUCCGGGGCUUAACUCCGGGCGUGCAGGCGAGACGGGCAUAACUGGAGUACUGUAGGGGGGACUGGAAUUCCUGGUGUAGCGGUGAAAUGCGCAGAUAUCAGGAGGAACACCGGUGGCGAAGGCGGGUCUCUGGGCAGUAACUGACGUUGAGGAGCGAAAGCAUGGGUAGCAAACAGGAUUAGAUACCCUGGUAGUCCAUGCCGUAAACGGUGGGCGCUAGGUGUAGGGGUCUUCCGCGACUUCUGUGCCGUAGCUAACGCAUUAAGCGCCCCGCCUGGGGAGUACGGCCGCAAGGCUAAAACUCAAAUGAAUUGGCGGGG